rnacentral:rRNA from 1 species
UACAGAGGGUGCGAGCGUUGUUCGGAAUUAUUGGGCGUAAAGGGCGCGUAGGCGGUGCGGUAAGUCACCUGUGAAAUCUCCUGGCUCAACUGGGAGCUUGCAGGCGAAACUGCCGUGCUGGAGUGUGGGAGAGGUGCGUGGAAUUCCCGGUGUAGCGGUGAAAUGCGCAGAUAUCGGGAGGAACACCAAUGGCGAAGGCAGCUCGCUGGGACGGUACUGACGCUGAGACGCGAAAGCGUGGGGAGCGAACAGG